AACGCACAUUGCGCCCCUUGGUAUUCCAUGGGGCAUGCCUGUUCGAGCGUCAUUUGUACCUUCAAGCUUUGCUUGGUGUUGGGUGUUUGUCCUCUCCCUAGUGUUUGGACUCGCCUUAAAACAAUUGGCAGCCAGUGUUUUGGUAUUGAAGCGCAGCACAAGUCGCGAUUUAAUCUAAUAACACUUGCGUCCACAAGUACUUUUAACUUUUGACCUCGGAUCAGGUAGGGAUACCCGCUGAACUUAA
rnacentral:misc_RNA from 1 species